rfam:Daphnia magna strain Xinb3 scaffold01581, whole genome shotgun sequence.
CCAUCGGUCCUUUUCAGGGCCACCAAAUGUAUUAAGAAAUGGUGCU